rnacentral:rRNA from 1 species
GAUUAACGCUGGCGGCGUGCAUAACACAUUCAAGUCGAACGGUGACGGGGGCUUCGGCCUCCUGAUCAGUGGCGGACGGGUGAGUAACGCGUGAGCAAUCUACCUCUUGGUGAGGGAUAACAACCGGAAACAGUUGCUAAUACCUCAUGAAACGGCAGCAUCGCAUGGUGCAACCGUCAAAGAUUUAUUGCCAAGAGAUGAGCUUGCGUCUGAUUAGGUAGUUGGUGAGGUAACGGCCCACCAAGCCGACGAUCGGUAGCCGGACUGAGAGGUUGAACGGCAGCAUUGGGACUGAGAUACGGUCCAGACUCCUACGGGAGGCAGCAGUGGGGAAUAUUGGGCAAUGGGCGAAAGCCUGACCCAGCGACGCCGCGUGAGGGAAGAAGAUCUUCGGAUUGUAAACCUUAGUCAACAGGGAAGAAGAAAGAGACGGUACCUGUGGAGGAAGCCACGGCUAACUACGUGCCAGCCGCCGCCGUAAUAC